AUCUCGCGGGUUGGACGCAAUGGACAGCGCUUUGGACUUCUAAUCCAAAGGUCGUGGAUUAAAAUCCCACCUGGGAUG